rnacentral:rRNA from 1 species
ACGAACGCUGGCGGCGUGCUUAACACAUGCAAGUCGAACGAUGAAGCCAGCUUGCUGGUGGAUUAGUGGCGAACGGGUGAGUAACACGUGAGUAACCUGCCCUUGACUCUGGGAUAAGCGUUGGAAACGACGUCUAAUACCGGAUAUGACCUUCAACCGCAUGGUUUGUUGGUGGAAAGAAUUUUGGUCAAGGAUGGACUCGCGGCCUAUCAGGUUGUUGGUGAGGUAAUGGCUCACCAAGCCUACGACGGGUAGCCG